rnacentral:rRNA from 1 species
AUGGGGUAAUUCCUGCCCUGUGACAAAUGUUCAACGGCCGCGGUAUCCUAACCGUGCAAAGGUAGCAUAAUCAUUUGCCUAUUAAUUGUAGGCUAGAAUGAAUGGAUAAACGAAAUAAAAACUGUCUCAAUUAGUUACCUAAAAACUAUUCUCUAUAUGAAGAAAAAUAGAUAAAUUCGAAGGACAAGAAGACCCUAUAGAGCUUUAUUUAAAAUGUAAAACAAAUUACAUAAAAAUUCGGUUGGGGCGACCUAGGGAACUUAUAUCACCCUAUAGCAAUAUAGAUUAAUUAAUCAAGUAAGUGACCCUUAAAAGAUCAUUAAACCAAGUUACCUUAGGGAUAACAGGCUAAUCCUACUUAAGAGUCCAUAUCGACAGUAGGGUUUGGCACCUCGAUGUUGGCUUAGGGUAUCAAUAUAACGCAAAAGUUAUAUAAAGAUGGUUUGUUCAACCAAUAAUCC